rnacentral:rRNA from 1 species
GACGAACGCUGGCGGCGUGGAUUAGGCAUGCAAGUCGGACGGUAGGGCUUUAUCGUAAGAUAGAGUUUGAGAGUGGCGAACGGGUGAGUAACACGUAGGAAUCUACCCUUAAGACGGGGACAACCCAGGGAAACUUGGGCUAAUACCGGAUGAGAGUGCGAGAGAUUGCAUUUAAAAGGAUGGCGAAAGUUGUCGCUUAGGGAUGAGCCUGCGGUCUAUUAGUUAGUUGGUGAGGUAAGAGCUCACCAAGGCGAUGAUAGAUAGGCGGCCUUAACGGGUGGUCGCCCACACUGGGAUUGAGAUACGGCCCAGACUCCUACGGGAGGCAGCAGUGGGGAAUAUUGCACAAUGGGCGAAAGCCUGAUGCAGCGACGCCGCGUGAGGGACGACGGCCUCGGUUGUAACCGUACUUCUAGCAGGACGAAGCGAAAGUAGACUGUACCUGCAGAAGAAGACACCGGCUAACUACGUGCCAGCAGCCGCGGUAAACGAUACUCGUA